GCACAUAUACUAAACUGGAACGAUACACAGAAGAUUAGCCUAGCCCCUGCGCAAGGAUGACACGCAAAUUCGUGAAGCGUUCCAUAUUUAA
ensembl:snRNA U6 U6 spliceosomal RNA